GGUAGUGCAAUACUAUUAAUUCCCAGGCCAUGCUGUCAGCUCAUCAGUAGAGAGUUGAGUGGAGGUGAAGGGCAUGAGGACUAACGAGGUUAAUAUGAGUUCAACAGGUGAGCUGAUCAACCUUGCCAUGUACUGUGAGAGGAUAAGGAGGAAAUUUUGGCCAGAGUGGCACCACGAUGAUGACAAUACCAUCUAUGAGUCUGAGGAGAGCAGCGAAGGCAGCAAAACCCACACCCCGCUGCUGGAUUUUAGCUUUUACUCAAGGACAGAGACCUUUGAAGAUGAGGGAGCAGAAAACAGUUUUUCCAGAACCCCAGACACAGAUUUUACUGGACACUCACUCUUUGAUUCGGAUGUGGACAUGGAUGACUAUACAGACCACGAACAGUGCAAGUGACGUCCAGCCUCACUGACCCUCUUCCUUGGGACCUGCCACUCCCUGGGUCGGUCCAUUUUCCCAGGUAGCAAUCCAUCCGAGCUGGGAGGAGAUCUUCGUGCUUGGCACAGUUUUCACAUGCUAACUGGACUAUAGCAGCCUUAUUUCUUUUUUGUACAAACAAAACACAGAACCAUUCAGAUGACUCCAUUGAAAACAAACAGGCAAAAAAUAAUGUCAGCAUGGUUCCUGAAAUCCAUUUUUGUUUUCAUUAGAAAACUAUUAAUAAUAUUGUGUGGUAGAGCAGGUGUAAGAGCUGGUUGUCAGCUGAUAGUUUUUAUGAUGAUCCUCUUCAACCUUGAGGUCUUAAUUGUGAGAUGGAUUCUUGAACCUCCUUCCUCCACCAGGAUUUGAAGUAAUGAGAGAUAUCAUCAGAAAAAUGUUUUACGG
rnacentral:sRNA from 1 species